CAAUGAUAAGAGAAUUAUUGAUUUGACAAUUUUAACAAAAACAAACAAUAGCAAUACAUUUAAAGAGAAUUACAAAAUAAUGAUAAAUUGUUUUCAUUUUUAAUUAAAAUUUGUAAGGAGGAAUAAACAAGAUUGACCAAAAAUCACUCUAUGGUUGACUGGUCAAUUGCGAUUGACAGGUUGAGCACCACUGAUAUAUACAAUAUAAGCAUUUUUCUCCAAAUUUACAACUUAUUAUGUGUAUCUGUUUUUAUGCACUUGUUAAUAAAAAGUAAUCCAAUAAGUGGGCCUAUAUUAUUUCUAAAAAAUUUGAGGUUUGGGGGCUCAGAAUUGAAUUCAGAUCCUCUGAGAUGAUGAGCCACUCUUUUUCCACACAGCCAUUCAUUUACUUAUGUACUUUUUCUUUAAUAUAAUUAAAGAACAUUAUUCAUUUAAUACAUUUUUCUGAUAUACUAGUACUAUAUAGUUUGUACUCCAUUUAUAUAAGUUGUGGAUUUUCUGUUUAUAAAUUGAAUUUUUAGAUGAAAAAAUUUUUCCAUAAUUCACUACUUUUAAUCUAAUUCUUGAAAAUUUUUUAAUCCAUGCAAAAAGAAUUUCUUUUAGAAGUAUGGGAAUCAAAAUGUUGAUGGGAAAUGAAAAAAUGUUCAAUUUUGACCAAAAAAAUGUCCUGUGAAAAUGUUCAAUUUCAUACUGGUUUUUAUUAUUUCCUGUAGAAAAAUGAACCAGUUUAUGGCCAUGUUAUGAUCAAAAUUACUAAAAUUUUUCUAUAUCCUAUAUCAAAGCAAUAUACUAGUAAUAAAAUUUUAGAUGAUAUAAACUAUAUACAACAGUCUUAAUUCAAUAUUUACAUGGGGGAUUAUCCAAAUAACUCUAAACUAGCCAG
rnacentral:lncRNA from 1 species